rfam:Salmo salar isolate Sally breed double haploid chromosome ssa07, whole genome shotgun sequence.
AAUACAUCCACAGGUAAGUCGCUCUGGAUAAGAGCGUCUGCUAAAUGACAUAAA